rnacentral:ncRNA from 2 species
UGAGCUGGGUUUAGACCGU